rnacentral:rRNA from 2 species
GGACUACCGGGGUAUCUAAUCCUGUUUGCUCCCCACGCUUUCGUGCAUGAGCGUCAGUACAGGUCCAGGGGAUUGCCUUCGCCAUCGGUGUUCCUCCGCAUAUCUACGCAUUUCACUGCUACACGCGGAAUUCCAUCCCCCUCUACCGUACUCUAGCUAUGCAGUCACAAAUGCAGUUCCCAGGUUAAGCCCGGGGAUUUCACACCUGUCUUACAUAACCGCCUGCGCACGCUUUACGCCCAGUAAUUCCGAUUAACGCUCGCACCCUACGUAUUACCGCGGCUGCUGGCAC